CCCUUAGAUGUUCUGGGCCGCACACGCGCUACACUGAAGGAGGCAGCGUGUACUCCUGGAUCGAAAGAUUUGGGUAACCCGCGAAUCUCCUUCGUGCUAGGGAUUGAGGUUUGCAAUUAUCCUUCAUGAACGAGGAAUUCCCAGUAAGUGCAAGUCAUAAGCUUGCGCUGACUACGUCCCUGCCCUUUGUACACACCGCCCGUCGCUACUACCGAUUGAAUGAUUUAGUGAGGACUUCGGACUGGGACCGAUGCGGCUUUCGGGCUGCGACGGUAUUCUGGAAAGAUGUCCAAACUGUAUCAUUUAGAGGAAGUAAAAGUCGUAACA
rnacentral:rRNA from 1 species